UAAUACGGAGGGUGCAAGCGUUAAUCGGAAUUACUGGGCGUAAAGCGCACGCAGGCGGUUUGUUAAGUCAGAUAUGAAAUCCCCGGGCUCAACCUGGGAACUGCAUUUGAAACUGGCAAGCUAGAGUCUCGUAGAGGGGGGUAGAAUUCCAGGUGUAGCGGUGAAAUGCGUAGAGAUCUGGAGGAAUACCGGUGGCGAAGGCGGCCCCCUGGACGAAGACUGACGCUCAGGUGCGAAAGCGUGGGGAGCAAACAGGAUUAGAUACCCUGGUAGUCCACGCUGUAAACGAUGUCGAUUUGGAGGUUGUGCCCUUGAGGCGUGGCUUCCGGAGCUAACGCGUUAAAUCGACCGCCUGGGGAGUACGGCCGCAAGGUUA
rnacentral:rRNA from 1 species